GAUGAACGCUGGCGGCGUGCCUAAUACAUGCAAGUCGAGCGAACGGACGAGAAGCUUGCUUCUCUGAUGUUAGCGGCGGACGGGUGAGUAACACGUGGAUAACCUACCUAUAAGACUGGGAUAACUUCGGGAAACCGUAGCUAAUACCGGAUAAUAUUUUGAACCGCAUGGUUCAAAAGUGAAAGACGGUCUUGCUGUCACUUAUAGAUGGAUCCGCGCUGCAUUAGCUAGUUGGUAAGGUAACGGCUUACCAAGGCAACGAUGCAUAGCCGACCUGAGAGGGUGAUCGGCCACACUGGAACUUAGACACGGUCCAGACUCCUACGGGAGGCAGCAGUAGGGAAUCUUCCGCAAUGGGCGAAAGCCUGACGGAGCAACGCCGCGGGAGUGAUGAAGGUCUUCGGAUCGUAAAACUCUGUUAUUAGGGAAGAACAUAUGUGUAAGUAACUGUGCACAACUUGACGGUACCUAAUCAGAAAGCCACGGCUAACUACGUG
rnacentral:rRNA from 1 species